AGGAGCAUUUCUAUGAUGCAUCAAGUGGCUAAGGGUACCUGGGUUGGUGUUUAAAGACUGUACAGACUAGACCCAGGUGAUGACUCAAUAGGGUGGGAAAUCUCUGCCUAUCACCUGCCCCCAACAUCACAAAGCCACAAGAAGGGAACAAAGAUCGAUUUCUUAAGCAGGGAACCAGCAUUCCAGGAUUUUUGGAGAAAGUUUGAUCUGCACAGCCUUUCCUGCUCUGUGAAAGAAUUAUGCGCUGAACUUUACUAUUAGCAACUGGACACCACUGAUCCACGCAUAUCCUGCAACUGAUUUUCAUCUGCUGAAUGUUGUGUUGACUCAAGCACUGCUGAACUCUUGCACAGUCGAAGGUACUAAAUAAACUUCACUGACACAGGACUUACAUUCACUGACAUGUACAGGACUUGAAGUAUUACAGACCAUCUGAAAAGCAGCUUUCAUAAUUCUGAUGACAGAAAUGCCCAUAUUGUGCUUUCAUCAUUUAUUUUAAGUUAAUGUUCCAUGAUGUAAAGUGGCUUGUUUGU